rnacentral:rRNA from 1 species
CCUACGGGCGGCAGCAGUGAGGAAUAUUGGUCAAUGGACGAGAGUCUGAACCAGCCAAGUAGCGUGAAGGAUGACUGCCCUAUGGGUUGUAAACUUCUUUUAUAUGGGAAUAAAAUGUUCCACGUGUGGGAUUUUGUAUGUACCAUAUGAAUAAGGAUCGGCUAACUCCGUGCCAGCAGCCGCGGUAAUACGGAGGAUCCGAGCGUUAUCCGGAUUUAUUGGGUUUAAAGGGAGCGUAGGUGGAUUGUUAAGUCAGUUGUGAAAGUUUGCGGCUCAACCGUAAAAUUGCGGUUGAAACUGGCAGUCUUGAGUACAGUAGAGGUGGGCGGAAUUCGUGGUGUAGCGGUGAAAUGCUUAGAUAUCACGAAGAACUCCGAUUGCGAAGGCAGUUCACUGGACUGCAACUGACACUGAGGCUCGAAAGUGUGGGUAUCAAACAGGAUUAGAUACCCGUGUAGUC